UCCAAAGGAACGCUUUUUAAUGUAUAUUGCAAUUGUAUAAACAGGGUCACUAGAGCUAAAUGGGAUGUCAAUGACCUAUGAAGAUCAUAAAGUAAACAAAAGAUCUUAAAAUAAGCAUGUAACCUGAACACAUUGGGGAUUGUUGUAUAUCAAAGGCAUUUGCUUAUAUAAAGUAAGGGAAAAUUACUUACGGGUAAUGUUGUUUGCCACAAGUCUACCUCUUGCCUGCUCUACAAAGAAAACCUACCCAGAGGGACUGGAGUAUGUCUCCAUCCACCAGCAAGCACCGAGCCUGCAGGCCCCAGCCAAGCAGAAUCCAGCUUUUGCACACACAUAAUAAAUACACAUUGGAAUUCCAAGGAGCAGCGAUAAGACAUCAUUCCUGAUGCCUGGUGGGGAGCUUGGCACUGACUGGAUUGCACAGGCUCUACUGGGUGGGCGCAGAACCGUAAGAUUGGAAUGCUGAGGCUGGGAAAUCUCUGCACAGAUGGAUGUGCAGCACAUGAUUUUUUAAGCACAGCCCAGUUUUGUCCUCCAUCCUUCUGAACGGAUUGCACUUGCUAAGCUCCCCAUUUCGGGUUUAGUGCUACAACGUGGCAGACUCCUUCACCGUCGGACAUAAGAGCUGCUGUUUGUGAGUAUUUUGUGUCCUUCACCUCCCCUGGAAGGUGUAGGUGUGGGGAUGCUGGAAACCUCGUAAUUGUCACCCAUUGGGAAAGGAUGGCCGACUGACGGCUAAUGAUCUGGGAGCUGGAAUUCGGAGACAAAUGCUAAACAUAAUCAAUAUAUAUAAAAGGAGAAUUAUUUUUUUUUCCCAAAAAAGAGGCAAAAAAAAAAAGCAAUGAAAAUUUAUGACCUUAACAUUCCUUCAGGGUCAAGCAAUUUAUCAAAUUCUCUCACUUUCUGGUUUCAAUUACACAGCUAUUGUGGAAGGAACUUAUUUUAGCAGGUUCAUUUGCCUCAGUAGGGAAUACAGGACUUUGGCCUAAUGCUUCACCUUUAGUGCAGGCCAUUUGAGCCUUAGAACAAAUACCAAUCAUCACUCUUUGGGAAAAAAAAAAAAAUCUGCAUCGGCGUGGCCUAUUGGAAUGGGGUUUCUGUCAAGGUAAACGGUUGUCGGCAAUGACUGUGGUAGAGUGGCGAUAAAUCCCAUUUUAUUGCUGAAAAAUUCCAGCUUCUCUCCAUGCCUGACAGCUCCCCACAUUCUCGUACCCAUUUGGGCAAUUUCUGACUCUGUCCAUCUGGUUCUUAUUACCUCUCAACCUGCCAGUGUCUGAUCCAGAAAAAGUGCAGGUCAAAAACAGGGGAAAGAAACCAAGGUGAUGGACAAAACAGAGCGAGUGAUUGAGGGGCUGCGCUGCUCUCCCACCCUCCCUCCCCACCCCACAACAAAAGUGCUGGGGGGAGGGUGACACGAGAUCAGGAGAGGUUAUUAGCUUAAUUAUGAAGUUGCCAGAAACCUCCUUAAAAUGGAACGCUAAAUGGGUGUUAAGCCACAUGCUCAAAGCCCCGGUAACAACAUCUUUGAUGCUUGUCCAGGACACCCAGAGGCACCUGCCUAAAUGCAGGCUUUGGAAAGAUGGGGGCAAAGCCCCCCAGCCCUGAUGGCGGCUGCCCUGCUGUGCCCACUCCCUCUGCAGCUGGUGCCACUGCGUACCUCGACCUUGUAUCCAAUGGAUUGCUCUGGGCUGAAAAUUGUGGCAGGAGGUCAGAUAAAUGCAGUUAAAAUUUAAUUUAGGGGGAAAAAAAAUAAGGAGAAGUUGGGCUACAGAAAACUGAUCAGAAAGAAAAAUCUCCACCUCCAUGCAAUGUUUUUCAUGUGUCAGAAUCCAAGCCUUUUUUUUAGGAAGUUCAGCUUCUUAUCAGCCCCCCCCCGCAAUAAACAUGGGGAACAUUUGGCCAAUUUUAAAAUGUGAAAACAAACAGCUGAGCCCAGGACAACUGAAAUUCUGUUAAGUCAAAGUGAAGUAAUAUGGGAGUACUUCUUCCAGGAACAACUGUGUUGCAUGGUGUUGGCCAAGGCUCCACCAGUGACAGCAGGGGACGUGCCCUGGUCCACCAAGUCAUAUAUUCCUUUCCAAGAACUCCAGAGAAUUUGAAUUAUUCUAUUUAUUGCUCAUUUAUAAAUGCUCAUUCUGCCUGAAACACUGCAUUUUUCUUGCUGCGUCUUGCUCCCAAACAGAUCACCACACCAAAGAUGUGGCCUUGUGCAAGCUUUACAUGGAGCUUUGUUUCCCAAGGAUGCAAGGAAACUGAAACUUUUCAGAGCUGCCUUCUAUCACCAAGAUUGCAUUUUAAAUCAAAAUGCUCUCCAUGACUGCCUGCUUUGCAGCACUAGGGUAAGUGCCAUUUUUCCACAGCUUAAACAAAACUAUGCCUAAGGACUCUAUGCCAGGAAGGCAUUCUGUUGGUUUUUGUUUUAUGAAAUAUGCACAGUGUUGUUGGAAGAACAGCCUCUUUCCUUAUUUUUUAUUUUUAAUUUUAUUUUUCUCCAAAUAUGUGAAUUUGCGCAUUUGCAAAACAGAGCUGCUCUCAUGCAAGCUAAUUCUUUGCGAGGGUGACAAGGCUCCAAACUUGUAAUAAAUUAUCAACGGCAGCAUUAAGAAAGAAAAUAUAAAACCAAAUAUGCUUUGAGAAUUGACUGAAUCUUUUAUUUAUCUUUUUUUUCUUUUAUCGAGGCAUCCUUUGAAAAAUGGCACAAAAUAAAUAGUUUUGCAAAGCAACAAUAUAAUCAAUCUCUAAACGAGAAGAUAAAUCAAGGAUUUCAUUAACUGCUGGUAGCCAGUUUAAAUUGUAGUCUUGUCCAUAAUGUCUAUCUAUCUAUGUAUGUCCAAGUUAUAUUAAAAACCUUUAAAUGGCUUUGUAAUAUCAGCUACAUCUAGCUAUUAUAAUAAUUAAUGAUACUGUUUUAUAAAUCAAUAUAUGUAUUCUUGAUAAAUUCAUAUCCAGUUAAUGGUGUAAUUUAAAUAAAAAAUUAAUGCAAUAAAGGACAUACUGGAACAGGCAGGAAAUCUUUAAAGGUUAAGAGGCAAAUUUGUCUAAAUUCUUUUCUUUGUACCUAUUUUUGAGAAAGCGCCCAUUGAAAUUCAGCUGCGAGCAGGCUCGCUCUUACGGCCCCGCUCUGGCCAUUAGCUUGGGAUUAUCAGCAGCCGUGGAGUUUUUCAGGCAGAUGCAACGCGAGGUCCUUCAGCUGAGCGAGCUCGUCCCUCCCUGCUCCCUAAUCCUGCUGCAGAACUGCAAACAAAAGUCGCGGGAGGAACGUGCCGGCCUUUGGCCAGGAACAGAAAGGGGCAAAACGUGUUGUUUUCAGCGCUCCCCACUGACCCCCAUCUCUGUAGCGUCGCUGGGAUUUUUUGGCUUAUUGUAUAAAGUGUCAAAAAAGGUAAAAUAUAAAUAUUUUGUCCCGGGCACGGAGCGCGCUGAGAGGAGCAUGCAAACCCUGCAGCCCGUGCGGCGUAAUAAAAAUCUGUUCUUUAUCUCUUGUUUUAAAUACAGUUAAUCCAGUUUAUUCAGCAAACACAUCUAAGAGCAACUUAGGGGGAAAAAAAAGCUGGAAAUUGCCUUUUCAUAUUUCUAGAUCACGCGUUAGUGAGAAACCGUGGCUCGGUUCCUUUGCUUUUAUUUACACUCAGUGACCACAAAAUGUAUCUCUAAGAAUAACAUGGGAUUUUAAUAGGCAAUAUUAAUUGUCCUUCCUAUAACUUUUGAUCUUAAAUGUUUAAAACAAAAGCCCGCUGCCUGUUUAUACGCUGGGUAUUUUAUGAAGGAUCUCUUUUUGAAAUUAUGCAAAACACGAAGCUUUGUCAUCCUCCGUGACACGGUACAGAAAUGUCACUUUAAUCCGACGAGAUCUUUUUUUUCUUUUUUUUUUUUUUUUUUGACGUUUCUCUCUCAACAUUGCUCUGCCUUAUUUAGAGCAGCAGCAGCGCUCUGCGCAGUUUCCUUUGACACUGAUGGGUAUUUCAAAACGCUGCGUGGAAGGGAGGGAGGAAGAGAAAGGAAUUUGCUGCCAGUCACCUCAGCAAUGCGGCUACACGAGCAAUCGCUAUUUGCUCAAAGUUUACAUUUCCAAUGAGCUUGGGAGGUAAAGCUGCAUUAUCUUGACGCUGGCUCCGUGUUUGGGAACGUAGGGGGGAAUCAGGGAGGACGACGAUCGCCGCGCGCGGAAGCGCGCUCGAGUGUUUGUAACGCUGCCAUUUAAAGCCUAUUUUGGUUUUCGGUGGAACUAGGAGCAGGAGACGCAUCGCCAUCCCUCGGAGGCUUAAUUUAGGCUUUAUAGGAAAAGCAUCAAAUGGGAGCUUCCAGCAACGCCCUGAAAUGUAUUGCACAUCCUAAAUAUCUUCAUUUCGAAGCGUGCCUUGUUUUUUCCCCUCCCAGGAUCGCUCGUGUGUCUCUCCCCAGACAAAGCAAGGACGAGCCGCAUUCUUAAAAAUUAUCUGCCUUACAGAUCGCGUUCCCAGGCAUGUCCCCGCGUUUUAUUACCGCAGAAAACUCCUUAAUGGUAUCACAAUUUUAGACUUGUUAAGUGGACAUCUUCCUUGUAUUUAACUGCAAACAAAGUGACUUCAUUUAGGGGCGGGAGGAACGAGAAAAUGCUUUGGGAUGAUUAGAAACAUAAGUUUCUAUCUUCUGUCACCCGAUCCUAUCAAUUAUUCAAAACCUACUAAAUUUAGAUGUCUGUUCCUAAAACAUUGUUUGCGCUCGUUCCCUGGAAAGAUGGAGGCAGCCGAUAAUUUGGCUAAAUUAUGUGCUUGAGCCCAAUCGUUACAAAUGAAACAAACGCUUUCUGCGCCCGUGUGAAGUCAAAGUCGGCGGUUUGGUUCACCACUGCCAAAAUUUCCCAGCUCCUUGCGUGAGCAAGCAUGGCGAGGCCGGGGCUCACAGACGUCGGCAUGGACCAGCCACAGCAAUGCCUUAGCCACCAGGGCUUGCCCAUGGCUAAAAGCAGCAAAGGGCCUAACGCAGCCCCAGGCGGUGGCUCCCUGGGCAUGAAGCCCAGCUGAAGCGCUGGGUGCUUCCACAAGGCAAGCUGGGGAGAUGUGGGGUGGGUGCUCCGGGUUGGGUGGGCAGCCCAGCUCUGCCACCCCUCACACCACCUCAUUACCACUGUGGCACCUCCUCUGUUGGAGGAGACGCUGGGCUGGGGCAGAGACUGUGGGAGAUGGCAUGAGGGCAUCACCGCUGAUGGUGGUGGGAGAGAAACCAAGCCAAAAAAAUAAAUGAAUAAAACCAGCAAAAAAAUCCACCCUGCAGAAACACCACCCAAGCGUUUAUCUUUCGAUUCCUGAGACACGGGCAGCCUUAGGGGGAAAAAAAAAUAAAUGAAUACAUUUAUAUUUAGAAAGCCAGGCACUGAGGGCAACAGAAAGCAAAUGGCACGAGCCCCGCCGUCCCCCACGCUGCGGGGAAGGCACGCGGGCACGACGCAGGUCCCCUCUUUGCAGCCCGGCAUAAAGGCGGACGAGCGGGGAAGGAGGGGAAAAACACACACGCACAAAAACACAAAACAAAGGACGUGUAAGCGCUUUCAUUUAUUUUGAUAAUCCUCCUCCUGCUCCAGAGCGUUUUGCUGUCUUUGUCAAAGUGAAUGACAACAAUUUGGCCAACUCUCUCUGAGCCGCGCUCGGCAGUGACAGGCAAAUUAUCAGAGGCCCUGCACUCCUUAUUAUCGGAGGAGAAGUCAUCAGGAGGACGUGCGGAGGAUCCCUCUCCCCUGUCACUAUUUGUCAGUGGGACAAGGGCCACUGCUAUGGGUAGCUGACAGGUAAUUUCAACAAUAACAAUUACUCCUAUUACUGGUGUCAUAAACAAUUCGCCCAAGGCAUGACAAUAGCAAAGCUUUAUAAUUCAAUGCCAUAUAAAUAAAUGCCAGCAGGUAACAAGUAAUUUAGCUCCAAUCAAGCCUCGGCCCCGGCAUUAAUAUUGUUAUUGCAAGAAGAUGGAAAAUUGAAAAAAUUCAAUAUGUUAAUGAAUUAAGAGGGGGUCAAAGGCUAAGGGAGGGGAGGAGUGAGCGGGGAGGGAAAAACAAAAGCAAAAGCCACAAAAAGCCGUCGCCGGGCCCAGCCCCACGCGUGGCACCGCUCGCACCGCGGGCGGAACUGCACGGAGCUGCUCUGAUUGCCAUGCCGUGAACUGAGCCCCGGGUGACACGUCUUGCAUGGCCAGACUUAACAGAGGGGAAAGGUUUGUUUAAAGCUCCACCACUUCAGGGCGCGCUCCGUUGUUCCCUUCAAUUUCAUCUUUUUCAGCCAGCUCUGUUCAACCGACGAUAUUUAUUUAUCGGGAAGAAGGAUUUCCCCGUCCUUGCCCCGUCCCCCAGGGCCCUGCCCAGGCCUCCCGCGGAACCCACGGAGCCACGGGCCGGGGUUGGGUGCCUCGCUCGGCCCACUCUGCAGGUUUACCACUUGUCCAGCCAAGACAAUGCGGCAUCAGCCUGACAGCGGGAAAAGAAUUUGAAGAAUCUCUAAUUAGGAGAGCUGCGGAGCAAUUAACGCAUGUCAAAUUUCACUUCAUCAAGUGCCACUCUAAUUUUCCCACUAAAAAUUAAUGGACUUUCGUGUGCGUGUGCGCGUGUGCGGGUGUGUGUCCCCUCAAGGCAAUGUUGAUUCAAAUCUGCUCAAGAUGCAGCGUUGCACAGCUAAGCAUCUUCUUGAUUACAACCCGCCACACUUCUAACUGCUUUCAUUCUCACUGCCACAGAUACUUUGUCAACAGUCAAAUUACGCCACGCUGAUAACAAUGCAUAAUGGUCUUCCUCAAAGGAGGCUCCUGUCACGGAGCAGCCUUUCAUAAAAAUGUACCAUUUUCUUCCCUGGGAAAUAUAUCUGUCUGACAAUGAAGUUUUUGCGGUUUCGGCAUUGGCUGCAGUGUAAUCCUUUAUUUCCCCCCCUCCCCUCUUUCUCCCUCUCCCUCCCCGGCUCCUGCUGUAAUUUAUUUAUUUUUGAGCCCAUCUGAAAUCACGGCAGGGCACUGUUUGAAGAGCUAUACAGAACGGAAAAUAUUUAUAGUCACUGUUUGUACUGCUUUUGCUGAACCACUUUGCUCCGAGACAUUUUCAAGAGCAACGUGCUCUCUCCAAUACCGGCGACUUCUUUUUCUCUCUCUUUUUUUUUUUCCCCCCCUCUUUCCCCCCCAUUUAGGAAGGUGUGGGGCAGGCUCCUGCCCUCCCAUCUGGAGCACGAGCCCUGCUGACGUCAAUGGGAGUCGUGCCCGCUGCUGUAAACAUGUUGGGACAUUCUCUUAUAAUGGAUGGGGUUUGGGUUCCGCGUGGUGCCAGCAUCCUCCGGGGCACCCAGGACAAAUCUCCUUUUUGUCAGAGCAGAGGGCGAGAGCCUGCCUGGGUUUGCCUCUGGGCUCCCUGCUCCUCGCUUUUGCCGGGAGAUCGAUAUCAGCAACUAGAAGGGGGGUUGAUAAGAAUAACACACCCUCAAGAUUAUCUUUUUCCCUUGAAGUUUCAGAGCAUAUUUCAAUAUAUUUGUCCGCCCACAAACCUGAAGAGCAAAUACGGCUCUUCCUGCUGCAGGGCUGCUGCUACGAGCGAACAAGGCACCCCCGUGGUAUUGCUAGGGCAUGCACACCUUAGUGUGUGCCUGCAUUAUAAAAAAAACACCACCACAAAAUAUAUAUUUCCUUUUAUCCGAGCCACCUUUCCAUCACCAGCUUCUCUCCUGCUGCAGACAAACGAUGCAAAAGCAGCAGGUAAUGUUGCCCGCUCCACCCCAUGCUCCCCUACACCCACCCCUUCCCUCCGUCCACCACCGUCCUGCAGUUAUUAACCCUUCCCAGCACCUCUGGAAGUGGGGGACUGGGGGCUGCUCCCCCUCUCUGUGUCCCUGCCGAGGUGGAAGAGCAGCACCGGGGCUGCCUUUAACAAAGCCCGGCUGGGUCGGCGUGCAGGGAGCACGUAGGGACCGCAGCCCUAAAAAUUGUAAUGCUGCUUUUAAACAAAGCCGAGAGAUGCGCUUUGCCUCCAAACCCCUUUUUUCGGGGGGGAAACCGAAAAAGGCUGUCAUAAAAAUAAUAGGCAGGGCUGUAAAUUAAAGAAAGAGAGAAAGAAAAAUGGGAUGAUAUAACGCAUCCUGCGGUAAUCAAUUUUACCUCCAAUAUCUGCUUUUGUUUUCAAAAUGCUAAAUAAACAAUACAUAAUGCAUCCCUCAUCAGCCAAAACCAUGAGGGCUCUGUGCUCAAAUAACAGGAAACAUAUUCAAUUUUCCUAACAGAAGACAGUUCAUUAAGCUGUGCCACAUCAAAUAAAACUUUAAUUUCUCCAGCAUCGGAGUCGCAAUGAAAGCAAUUGAGGAAGAUGAGCCAUAUGGUACUUCUAUCAGCAAACACAUAUUGCUCAUUCCCCCAAAGUUUUCUAAUUCUGCUCCCCAGACCUGUGUAAUAUAGAUAAUGUGCUCUGAGCGCAGCAACCAUGAGCUAUCUGGUGUACACUUCUAAUACUGUAUUUAAUGGGAAAUAAUGAAUCAUAAAAGCCUGCAGAAGACGGCUUUUGCUAACCUAAAUCUCAGCUGUAAUUUCAUUGUUCUGUGCCUAAGAUGCCGCUUGCCCUUUUCAAACAACAGCGGUUGAACAUAAUUAUGCCGCCGCAAACCUGGGCUGCAAAAAGCGCGGCUCCCGGCCCUACCAACUUCCAUUAACUCCUGAAGCCCCGCGCCGGGUGCGGCAGCCGGCUCCCAGGGGUCAGGGCAGCGCUCCGAACCGGUUCCUCUCCGAUCUGGCCCCAAAAACGCCACAGGAGGAGGCUGUGAAAAAUUAGGAAAUCCGCUUGACAUCGGGAAAUCCGACCCUUGUCUGCUCUAACAUCUCUAAGCACCAAAGCCGUGUGGCGUAGUAGGAGGUGGAUUUUUUACACACACAUAUAUGUUUUUUUCCCUAAAAGGUUGUUGCCACUUUUGCUGCUUUUCACGUCAGAGAAGUCGGGUAACGCGGGGCCCUUUGAAAUAUCUCUCAACUGAACCGAACUUCUGCCUGCAAAUGUAAGAAACAUUUAUUGUGGCCGAGCAAGGCUUUCCUUUUCCUUAAUCUGAGGCAAUUAGUACCUGAAUAAACACAGACCGAGCAAUCCACCUCCUCGCAGUGUAAUUGCACUUUAGAGGAGUUCCUCGGCUCUGCCCAAGGAAGCACAGCUCCCACUGAGGUGCCUGGAGCUCACUUUCACCCUGCUCAGCCGCCUGUAAACCCCCUGACUUCUAAUGGAAAACCCUUCGCACUCCCCCAACUCCUCUCUCCUCAAACCCCGGCCAGGCCCGGCCCUCUCCCCCCGAAAUCUUUCACCCCGCUUCUCAUUUUUCUUGGGCUCUAAUCUAAUCACUAAUUCCUUCGCUUGGCCAAAUAGUUAAAAAUGUUAAGUGCUGGCAGUUCCUCCUGCCUCCCCCCCGUAUCUGUCUCUGUUUAUGGAACGGGCCCUGGUUUCCUCCUUCUCUUGUUCAGCUGUAGGUCUUCAGGUCGGGAGACUGUAAAUACACACAGCGCUGCCCCGACCCAUAAAUCUGAGCAAAGGGCAGCCCUAUAUAUUCAGAUAAGCCACGCAGAGAGGGGGAAAGGAAAAAAAAAAAGGGGGGGGGGGGGGAGAGAUGAGGAAUAGAACAAAGUGAGGCAAGGGCAAGUCAGCAGCUCCAUGAUCAUGCCAAUGGGGCACGAGGGAUGCCCACCGCCGCCCUCUGCUUGUACACAACUGGUCACGAAAUGCACGUGGUUCCCUUUGGGCAAUGAAAUGAAACCCCAGAUCUUUGUGGCUAUCUGACGUGCCUUUCUCUCCCCCAGCCCUUUGUUGGUCGAUUCCUCCCCCCCCCGCCCCCAUUUUAUUUCCAGCACCUCUGAAGCUUUCAAGGGAACAGUCCCCCUGUUAUUGCUUCUCAGCUCCAAGGUCUUAGAAUAAAUAACAUUGUUAUUACUCACUUCACCAAUUUCCAAGAAGAAAUAUUGCCGCAGCAAAUGCGAGCAGCACUAAUAUUUGCAAAGUGAUAAAUGGAUUGCUACAUACCUUCCCGUCUGUGUGGCCUCCAGCCAUCCCCGGGCCAGCUCCAUCUCCUCGGGUGCCUUUGAACCGAGGGGGCUCCAGGCACGGUGCCUUGCACGGAUCCCCUCCCUCGCCCUCCGAUGGGGAGAGGAGCUCAGACCUGGAGUUGGGUACCAGGGGGAGAUGGCUGCCCUGCCCGCAAAUACCUGUAAAUAACAUAUAGAUAGUUUAAGCAGUGGUUUUAUCUACUGCUUGGAUGCGGUGUGGACUCUUUGAUUGCACUGAAAACAAAAUGUCCAAAUUCAAUUAUUCCUGGGACGUGAGUCAUGCUGAAAAACACUUUAAAUGCCUGGUAAUUAAAACCAAAGUGCAACCUCUUGCUUCACCCCACAGUGGCUGCUCCAGCAAAGCAAGCCAGACUGCCACCAACAAUGGGACACUGAAACCCUGCUUUGCUCUGCUCUGAAGAGCCCAUGUUGGCUGCCAAGCCCUUCCUGGCUCCUUGCAUCCCAAUGACAUGUUCUUGACUGAGCCCAUUGCAAUUCCAGGCUGCGCUCCAAUGGGCAUGGUUAUUUCAUUGUUUGGCUACUUGAUUGCUUGGCUUGAGCUCUCUGGCUGGGGCAAGUGGAUUCACCUGAGAUCUCCCAGGCACCAGAGAUGGUGUGAAGAUGGAUUUUCUUGUGCACAGCAAAAUGCAGCUGCUCCAGGGCAUCAUCCCAGUGUCCUCGUGGUUGCGUCUCAUCCUCUGUGCAGCAGGGGCAGCACCAGGAGCUCUCCCUGGGCAUUUCUCCCCAAGCAGCCCCAGGAAUUGGCUCAGCCCAAGCUUUCCUUCUGAAAGGGCUGGCAGGGGCCUUAGGGAACAGCCGUCAGCAUGAACAGGUUAUGUGCACAGGGCAAACAGCAUCCUAUGGCUUCUACAUGGGGUGAAGGGUGAACACAGAGGUUCCCGUGAUGCUGGGUGAAGGUGCAGGCACAGUGUGGCUGUGCUGGUCCUGGACAAGUCUGCACCCGAGGGGAUGAAGAAGGUGGUAGGCUGAAAACCUGGGCUACAUAUCUAUGUAUAUAUACAUAGAAAUGCAUUUUUUUUCUUUAUUUUCUUUUUUUCCCUAAGAAGUAGCCCUUAUCCGUAACAUGGAGAGCAAACUUGUGAACUGCUGAAAAAAAUCACCCAGAAAUUGUGAGCAGAGGUACAAAAGGGUCGAGCGGGAGACAAUAAAAAUCUGUCUGGCAGUUUUCCUCUUGGCCGAGGUAAAUACCAUAUUUUCUUUUUUGUUGUUGUUUUUAAGAUAAGACAAAUCGAACUGAAGGCCAUGAAAUACAGAUAAGGAGAGAAAGUCCUUCGGGAUGGGCUUGUAAAAGCUCAUGCAAAGUACGUAUGGUUGGAGAGCAGUAAUAAAAAGCGAUAGUUUGUAUUGGUUUCUAAUCAAAGGCUUAAUACACCAACUAUCCAUAAUGCUCAUAAAUGUAUGAGUCUGUGUGCUCUGUUAUACAGGCAUGCAGCUACAGAUGCACAGACACGAAUGUACAUAGAUAUGCAUACAUGUUUAUUGUGUACAUGCAUGCAUGUGUAUACAUGUACACGUAUACAUACACAUAUAUAUGUAUAUAUAACAAUGCUUAUUGAUAGAUGAAUAAAUGCACACAUUAAUACGUGCAGAUACACAUAUGUGUACUCAAACCCAUGGGCACACAUGCACAUCCCCCCCCAAAAUACACAGCUUGCCACCAAUGAAAAAGAACAAGGGCUGCAGAAUUAUCUCAAGGAAAAAAAUGAUGAAAGGAAGCAUCAGGGUGAGAGCUGCAGCAGUGUCACUUUAGGGAGCCAUCCCACUGCUUGCAAGCACUCAGAAAUCACAGAGCACUUACCAGCACCUUUCCUGGCCCAGAAGCAGGUGGGGAACAGCUCGAGAUUGGGAUUUUGGGGCAAUUUGUGCCGAUUCCUGCUGCCCUGCCAGGCACGAAGCCCUGGGAGAUCGGCCUCAGCCAGGAGCAGGAAACACGCAGGUUCAGUGGGUGUUGCACAUGAGCCCAUGUCCACCAGGACAAAAGCCACCCCUGAAAGAGACCUUCUAGAAAAUGAUGUGUCCUAUCUGUCCGCACCCAUAGGAUGCUGAAAGGACCCCUACAGCCUUCCCUCUAUUAUUGACUCCUAUUUUUUUCUUUGGUGACUAAUAUUUUUCUCCCGACUUUUACUGACAGACAGUUCUGUUGCUUUAAUAGAUACAUGUAAGAAAACCACUUCUGCAGUUGCAGUAGUUCCUUCAUAGCCAUAAGGCUAUUAACUAACAUCUUUGCCACCGAGAACAGAUUAUGGCAUUUACAUGGGAACCACGGCAGACCCACAGAAGGAUAAGUUCUUGUUUAUUCCCCAAAUCCCACCUUUUUCCAAGCCUGAGAGUGGCUCUCACGAGAGAGCAUCACCGAUGGCAGCGCCCAUGCUCCAUCUGCACUGGUUUGGGGGAGCUUUGCUGUUCUGUGCAUAUUCAAGCCACCAACUCUAUCAGUGCUGGUUAUGUGAAGUUCUGCAGUUUUAAAAGGGCAACUCAUCCUGAAGUUUCCUUUCAUUAAAAGCAUCCACAGGAGCUCCGUUUUUCCCUCUGUUUCUUCUAAUUCUGUUACUAUCUCACUAAUUACAAAUGCUGUACAAGAACUAGGUAUUGAGCCAUAGAAACGAAAGGUCAAUACAAGAACAACACUUCAUUUGUAAAUAAUAUGGCUCUGCAAUCAAUUAUCUCAUUUUCACAGAAGACAUAUUAAUCUAGGAGCAAAGGAUGAAGACAUUUGGAGGAUGUGCAGAGGGGAUCUUUAAAUGUUAAAUGUUCUUUAGCAUGUGCUAAAUAAAGGCUUCGGCAGAGCAAAAAUGUAGCGCAUAGCACUGACACUCCAGGGAGAUUCUUUAGGUCAAGUGAUUUGUACCUUCAAAAUAGUUCUCCAUUGCACUGUAAAGCCUCUGCCACUGGUGGGCUGAUGUUAUUUAGGAUGAUAGCUGCAGCAGAGAAAAUACUGCAAAAAAGAAAAAAAGGUCAUCAGUGAAAAAGGUGCUUGUUUGGAUAGGUGAAUCCAGCCCAAUUUGCACUGGUUGCAGUUGGCCGGCAUAGGGGGUGUGCAGAAAGCUCCCCCCAGUAAAACAGCCUGUGCAGGAUCAUCGCCUCUUCCAUGGGUCACAGCAGGAAUCCAUGUCAUGAUUCAGAGGUAGGCUUGUGGGUCCCACAACCAUAACCAUCAGUAGAGGAAACUGUGAGGAAAUACAGUUCCUUGACCUAAAACCAGUUCAGGAUUUCCUCACAUUCCCAUCAAAUGGCAAGGAAAAGCUCCUGUAGGCUUCUUCCCCAAAGAGACAGCAAGAAGAGGGGGACGCGUGCAAUGCCUGCUCGCUUUUGCCUUUCUGCUUCGGACUCACUGUACAUCCACCCCACGGAAACAACACAGGAUGGAAAAAAAUCCAACCAAACAAAAAUCCCCCUGGAGUGAUUCCCAAGGUAGAGCAGGUCUGCUCGCCCCGGCGGGUGCACUGUAUCUGCUCGCCCCGGUGGGCCCUUCCAAGUACUCCGCAAGCUCUGUGCCAAAAUAAAUGUUACUUCACCAUCGAGCAGGCAGAAGAAUGAAAAUCUGGAUUUGUGUGAGUGAGAAAAAAGAGCCCAAACAGGAAAGCCUUUUUCUUCUGGUUUUAAAGUCCUGGAUGAUCAAGGCUGUUCUGCUCGUUCUGAUGUAGGCAGUUUGUAGAUACCCAAAUACGCACCCGGCCAUGCAAAGUGCUCCCCCUUUGAUUCCAGCCAAAUCCUUUCUAAUUCUCUUUAAAUGUUCCAGGGCUUUUUGAAAUUGCUAUCAAUGCCAACCAAAUGCCUUAGAUCUUUCUCUCUCUCUCUCUCUCUCUUUUUUUUUUUUUGUCUGUCUUUAAAUACUCGCCUUAUUUUUAUGCAGCCCAGUUACCGCUGUACAUGGAAAAAGAAUCUAGAAAGAGAUCUGGUUUGCUUUAGCCUUUAAAGAGUAUAGAGUAAGACACUUUAACCUUCUUUGUAUUUACUUAGUUGCUUUAAUAUGAUUCCUGUAACCCCUAUAGUUCUUUUCUUUCCAUACAACUUAUUAAAUAUUUAUAAUACAGUAGCCCAUACACAUCAGACAGGUCAGGUUUUUAUUACAUUGCACUUGCCAUAGCGAUCCAGUAAAUCAUAACUCACAUUCCUCCUAGAAGUUAAAAAACUAGGAUUGCUCAGGUGAGCUCGGGCUGAGUUUGAGAGGGUCCAUCUUGAAAACAAGCCAAGCUGGUUAGAUGGACUAGCUGAACCAGGAAAUAAUAGAUCCCCGGAGGCAAUAGAUCUUCCUGUUGUGCUCCUUGGCUGGGUAUGUGUCCAUCCUUCAGCCUUUGCCACUGCUGUCGCAUGUCCCUGAGGUGGGAUCUUCACAAACCACCGAGUGUUCUCCAAACCCUGGGAUAGCAUGCAUUUUCCCCUCAGCCAUUUUAUUCGACGCCUUUUGGAUCUCCUGAGCCCUCGUUGCACACUGCUGUUGCUUCUCCACUCUGUGCACUGCUCGGACCUGUUCAUUCUCUCCAGAAUGAAAAGUGGCCAUUUAUGUUUCAGCAGACCAUAAAAACCCCGGCUGAAAGCUUUCCAGCAUUUUCCACACUGGAGCUGCCUUGCAAGGCUUAGGACCACAUUGUCAAUGCCUCAACAGCGCGGGGUUUGGUGCCUGCAGAGCAGCACCAAGGUUUGGUGCUAGGGGCAGGCAGCUCAACUCAUGGAGAAACCCUGGUACCCACACUGGUUUUAGUCUGCUGGCCUGGCAGCUUUCACAUUUCUUUGUCCUCCUGGAGUGGUAGAAUGAAAGACACUCAUGUCUGGGGCUUUCGUGUCUUCUUUUAAACUCCUGCUCCUCUCCCUCCUGCUCUCCCUCCCUUCCCUAACUCCCUUAGCUCUGCCCUGCCUUUCCCACUCUGGAAAAAAUGAAACUCUGUAAUUGCCUCUCUGUGUGCUUACAAAAAUAAAACCAAGACUAAUUGAAAAA